CAGUCGCCGCGGUAAUACGAAGGGUGCGAGCGUUAAUCGGAAUUACUGGGCGUAAAGCGUGCGCAGGCGGUUAUAUAAGACAGAUGUGAAAUCCCCGGGCUCAACCCGGGACCUGCAUUUGUGACUGUAUAGCUAGAGUACGGUAGAGGGGGAUGGAAUUCCGCGUGUAGCAGUGAAAUGCGUAGAUAUGCGGAGGAACACCGAUGGCGAAGGCAAUCCCCUGGACCUGUACUGACGCUCAUGCACGAAAGCGUGGGGAGCAAACAGGAUUAGAUACCCCCGUAGUCCCUGUCUCUUAUAC
rnacentral:rRNA from 1 species